CCUACGGGAGGCUGCAGUGAGGAAUAUUGGUCAAUGGGCGAGAGCCUGAACCAGCCAAGUCGCGUGAAGGAUGAAGGAUCUAUGGUUUGUAAACUGCGUUUAUAGGGGAAUAAAGUGAGGAACGUGUGCCUUUUUGUAUGUACCAUAUGAAUAAGCAUCGGCUAACUCCGUGCCAGCAGCCGCGGUAAUACGGAGGAUGCGAGCGUUAUCCGGAUUUAUGGGGUUUAAAGGGUUCGUAGGUGGGUAAUUAAGUCAGCGGUGAAAGUUUGUGGCUAAACCAUCAACUUGCCGUUGAAACUGGUUGACUUGAGUAUAUUUGCGGUAGGCGGAAUGCGUUGUGUAGCGGU
rnacentral:rRNA from 1 species